CCUACGGGAGGCAGCAGUGAGGAAUAUUGGUCAAUGGGCGCGAGCCUGAACCAGCCAAGUCGCGUGAGGGAAGACGGUCCUAUGGAUUGUAAACCUCUUUUAUCGGGGGGCAAAAGACGCCACGCGUGGCGUUCCGAGAGUACCCGAAGAAAAAGCAUCGGCUAACUCCGUGCCAGCAGCCGCGGUAAUACGGAGGAUGCGAGCGUUAUCCGGAUUUAUUGGGUUUAAAGGGUGCGCAGGCGGAAGGUUAAGUCAGCGGUAAAAUUGCGAGGCUCAACCUCGUCGAGCCGUUGAAACUGGUUUGCUUGAGUGAGCGAGAAGUAUGCGGAAUGCGUGGUGUAGCGGUGAAAUGCAUAGAUAUCACGCAGAACUCCGAUUGCGAAGGCAGCAUACCGGCGCGCAACUGACGCUGAUGCACGAAAGUGCGGGUAUCGAACAGGAUUAGAUACCCGAGUAGUC
rnacentral:rRNA from 1 species